UACAGAGGGUGCGAGCGUUAAUCGGAAUUACUGGGCGUAAAGCGUGCGUAGACGGUUAUUUAAGUCGGAUGUGAAAGCCCCGGGCUCAACCUGGGAAUUGCAUUCGAGACUGAAUAGCUAGGGUACGGUAGAGGGAAGCGGAAUUCCUGGUGUAGCGGUGAAAUGCGUAGAUAUCGGGAGGAACACCAGUGGCGAAGGCGACUUCCUGGCCUGUUCUUGACGCUGAGGCGCGAAAGCUAGGGGAGCAAACGGG
rnacentral:rRNA from 1 species